rnacentral:rRNA from 1 species
GUGACACCAGAGUAGUGCCGGACACGUGGAAUCCGGCAUGAAGCCGGGGGGCCCACCCCCCAAGCCUAAAUACUAACCAGUGACCGAUAGCGAAGUAGUACCGUGAGGGAAAGGUGAAAAGAACCCCGGGAGGGGAGUGAAAUAGAACCUGAAACCUUAUGCUUACAAUCGGAGGGAGCGCAAGUGACCUCAUACUUUUUGUAGAACGGGCCAACGAGUUAUGGUAUGUAGCAAGGUUAAGGUGCUGGAGCACCGAAGCCGCAGGGAAACCGAGUCUUAAUAGGGCGAGAAGUUACAUGCUGUAGACCCGAAACCGGGUGACCUAUCCAUGUGCAGGUUGAAGUAACUGUAAAAGGUUAUGGAGGACCGAACUCAUGUCUGUUAAAAAAGGCUGGGAUGACGUGUGGAUAGCGGUGAAAUUCCAAUCGAACUCGGAGAUAGCUGGUUCUCCUCGAAAUAGCUUUAGGGCUAGCCUCAAGGAAAGAUACGCGGGGGUAAAGCACUGAAUGUUCAAGGGGCCUUCACCGGUUACCAAAAACUAUCAAACUCAGAAUACCGCAGUAUUAUACUUGGGAGUCAGGCUAUGUGAGAUAAGUUUCAUAGUCGAGAGGGAAACAACCCAGACCAACAGCUAAGGUCCCCAAAUGUAAGUUAAGUGGAAAAGGAUGUGGAGUUGCAUAAACAGCUAGGAUGUUGGCUUAGAAGCAGCCAUACAUUUAAAGAGUGCGUAAUAGCUCACUAGUCGAGUGACCCUGCGCCGAAGAUAAACGGGGCUAAAACUUACUACCGAAGCUUUGGAACAGAAAUGUUGGUAGAGGAGCAUUGUAUACAGGCAGAAGGUAAAUUGUGAAGUUUGCUGGACAGUAUACAAGAGAGAAUGUUGGCAUGAGUAGCGAGAGGCAGGUGAGAAUCCUGCCCGCCGAAAAUCUAAGGUUUCCUGAGGAAGGUUCGUCCACUCAGGGUUAGUCGGGGCCUAAGCCCAGAGCGAGAGCUGUAGGCGAUGGACAACAGGUAGAAAUUCCUGUACCACCGAGGAUUGAAUGAGUGAAGUGGGGACACAGAAGGAUAGGUUGAGCACGCCGUUGGUAGAGCGUGUCCAAGCGUUAAGGGAGUAUAAGUAGGCAAAUCCGCAUAUACAAUUCUGAGGCGUUAUGGGGUGGCGAAAGAGCCUGAAGCAACUGAUUUCAUGCUGUCAAGAAAAUCCGCUAACAAGAUUCAAGGUGCCCGUACCGCAAACCGACACAGGUAGAUGAGGAGAGAAUCCUAAGGCGAGCGAGAGAACUAUUGUUAAGGAACUCGGCAAAAUUACCCCGUAACUUCGGGAGAAGGGGUGCCACAGAAAUGUGGCCGCAGUGAAUAGGCCCAGGCAACUGUUUACCAAAAACACAGGUCUCUGCAAAAGCGAAAGCUGAAGUAUAGGGGCUGACGCCUGCCCGGUGCUGGAAGGUUAAGGGGAAGUGUUAGGGUAACCGAAGCACAGAACUUAAGCCCCAGUAAACGGCGGCCGUAACUAUAACGGUCCUAAGGUAGCGAAAUUCCUUGUCGGGUAAGUUCCGACCCGCACGAAAGGCGUAAUGA